rnacentral:lncRNA from 1 species
CGAAGAAAUGGCCCUUAGAAAGUAACUCUACAAAGAUCUUGAGAAAGAUAUGGGAUUAAAAUCGUCCAUGAAAUUGGUAGACUUCCUACACUUUCCCUAAGGAUUCCGUUCCAAUCAGGACACACAAUUUGCUACAGAUUCUUUUGAAAACUUAUAAGAACCCUACUUACUUGAAAAUGAUCGUUGAUGGUACUGACAUGGCCAAACCACAUGACAAAUGGAGAAACAGCACUAAAAGCAAUUACGGAAAUCCAUGACUUUAGACUUUAGUGUUCCUAGAUUCUCGCUAUCAUAUUGUUAUUGUGUUAAAGGUUCACCCAGUGUGUCGUCUUGAAAUAAUGCACAUAUUCCUUGCAUUAGUAAGGUGUUGUAUUGUUAAAAUAAAUAAAUAAAUAAAAAAAGGCAAAUUCAUUGCUCUUUAAGUUUGUCAUGUACUAUAAAAGCAGAUUCUUGGGCCUUGUGUAUGCAUUUUAAAAUAUCAUUUGAAUAAAAUGACUCUCGCCUGAAUAUAAAGGGUUUCAUUUUGCAAGUAUCAUUUAGUGUAUGAAUAAUAAAAAAUUAAGAAUGUUCUCCCUCAUGAAUUUCUUUUUGUCUUUCCUCAAGUUUCUAAAGUAGAAUAGAUAUGGUGAGAUAAAGGUUUAAUUGUAGUACAAAUUAGAACACUCUUAUUUGCCUUUGUAAAGAAUCCUCUGUACCAUACUAAACUGGUGUCCAAUAGAUCCAACCUGACAGAGCUAUAAUUGUAAAAGUUCAGGGCUACAUUGUAUACAUGGGUUGUAACUUCUUGUGGGCUAAAUUAUGAUGGCUAUGGCUGACUCCCAGCUUUGUGAUUAUAUAGUAUGACCUAAUUGUCAUUUUAGACAGCAAUUGAAAGGGGUUCUCUAGAGCCUAAAAGAACUUUUGGAGGUCCAAAGUGCUC